rnacentral:rRNA from 1 species
AACGAACGCUGGCGGCAUGCCUAACACAUGCAAGUCGAACGAUACCUUCGGGUCUCGUGGCGCACGGCUGAGUAACGCCUGGGAACCUGCCCUUAGGUUCGGAAUAACCCCCCGGAAGGGGUUCUCUUAUCGGAUCGUGUCCUAGGACCAAAGAUGGAUCGACUUUGGAUGGGCCCGCGCUGGAUUAGCUAGUUGGUAGGGUAAACGCCUACCAAGGCGACGAUCCAUAGCUGGUCUGAGAGGAUGAGCCGCCACACUGGAACUGAGACACGGCCCAGACUCCUGCGGGAGGCAGCAGUGGGUAAUAUAGGACUGUGGGCGAUAUCCUGAUCCAGCAAUGCCGGGUGAGUGAUGAAGGCCGGAGGGUAGUAAAGAACUUUUACCCGGGAGGAUAAUGACAUUACCGGGAGAAGAAGCUCCGGCUAACUCCGUG